GUUCCUACGGGACACAGCAGUAGGGAAUCUUCCGCAAUGGGCGAAAGCCUGACGGAGCAACGCCGCGUGAGUGAAGAAGGAUUUCGGUUCGUAAAGCUCUGUUGUUAGGGAAGAAUGAUUGUGUAGUAACUAUACACAGUAGAGACGGUACCUAACCAGAAAGCCACGGCUAACUACGUGCCAGCAGCCGCGGUAAUACGUAGGUGGCAAGCGUUGUCCGGAAUUAUUGGGCGUAAAGCGCGCGCAGGUGGUUUAAUAAGUCUGAUGUGAAAGCCCACGGCUCAACCGUGGAGGGUCAUUGGAAA
rnacentral:rRNA from 1 species